rnacentral:rRNA from 1 species
CCUACGGGAGGCAGCAGUGAGGAAUAUUGGUCAAUGGACGAGAGUCUGAACCAGCCAAGUAGCGUGAAGGAUGACUGCCCUCUGGGUUGUAAACUUCUUUUAUAUGGGAAUAAAAUGUUCCACGUGUGGGAUUUUGUAUGUACCAUAUGAAUAAGGAUCUGCUAACUCCGUGCCAGCAGCCGCGGUAAUACGGAGGAUCCGAGCGUUAUCCGGAUUUAUUGGGUUUAAAGGGAGCGUAGGUGGAUUGUUAAGUCAGUUGUGAAAGUUUGCGGCUCAACCGUAAAAUUGCAGUUGAAACUGGCAGUCUUGAGUACAGUAGAGGUGGGCGGAAUUCGUGGUGUAGCGGUGAAAUGCUUAGAUAUCACGAAGAACUCCGAUUGCGAAGGCAGUUCACUGGACUGCAACUGACACUGAGGCUCGAAAGUGUGGGUAUCAAACAGGAUUAGAUACCCCGGUAGUC